UAAUGCAUAAGUAAUCUACCUUCGAAACUGGGACAACCUUCCGAAAGGGGGGCUAAUACCGGAUAAGACCACGAUAUACAUUAUAGUGGUAAAAGAUGACCUCUGCUUGCAAGUUAUCAUUUGAAGAUGAGCUUAUGUCCUAUCAGCUUGUUGGUGGGGUAAAGGCCUACCAAGGCUAUGACGGGUACCUGGUCUGAGAGGAUGACCAGGCACACUGGAACUGAGACACGGUCCAGACUCCUACGGGAGGCAGCAGUAGGGAAUUUUGCGCAAUGGGAGAAAUCCUGACGCAGCGACGCCGCGUGAGUGAUGAAGGCUUUCGGGCUGUAAAACUCUGUUUAGUGGGAAGAAGGGUUUAAGGCUAAUAUCCUUAAGCAUUGACGGUACCACUAGAGUAAGCACCGGCUAACUCCGUGCCAGCAGCCGCGGUAAUACGGAGGGUGCAAGCGUUGAUCGGAAUUACUGGGCGUAAAGCGAGAGCAGGUGGUUUAAUAAGUCAGAUGUGAAAUCUCUAGGCUUAACCUAGAAACUGCAUCUGAUACUAUUAAACUAGAGUGUAAGAGAGGGUGAUGGAAUUCCCAGUGUAGGGGUAAAAUCCGUAGAUAUUGGGAGGAACACCGGAGGCGAAGGCGAUCACCUGGCUUACAACUGACACUCAUCCUCGAGAGCAUGGGUAGCAAACAGGAUUAGAUACCCUGGUAGUCUAUGCUGUAAACGAUGGACACUAGAUGUUGUGGGAUUUGAUCCCUGCAGUAUCGUAGUUAACGCGUUAAGUGUCCCGCCUGGGGAAUACGGUCGCAAGAUUAAAACUCAAAGAAAUUGACGGGGGCCCGCACAAGCGGUGGAGCAUGUGGUUCAAUUCGAGGCAACGCGAAAAACCUUACCUGGGCUUGACAUCCUGCUUUAAAUCAUAGAGAUAUGGUCUAGUCUUCGGACAAGGCAGGACAGGUGCUGCAUGGCUGUCGUCAGCUCGUGUCGUGAGAUGUUGGGUUAAGUCAUGCAACGAGCGCAACCCUUAUCAUUAGUUGCCAUCAUUAAGUUGGGUACUCUAAUGAGACAGCCGGUGUUAAACCGGAGGAAGGUG
rnacentral:rRNA from 1 species